rnacentral:rRNA from 1 species
AUUGAACGCUGGCGGCAGGCCUAACACAUGCAAGUCGAGCGGAUGACGGGAGCUUGCUCCUUGAUUCAGCGGCGGACGGGUGAGUAAUGCCUAGGAAUCUGCCUGGUAGUGGGGGAUAACGUUUCGAAAGGAACGCUAAUACCGCAUACGUCCUACGGGAGAAAGCAGGGGACCUUCGGGCCUUGCGCUAUCAGAUGAGCCUAGGUCGGAUUAGCUAGUUGGUGGGGUAAUGGCUCACCAAGGCGACGAUCCGUAACUGGUCUGAGAGGAUGAUCAGUCACACUGGAACUGAGACACGGUCCAGACUCCUACGGGAGGCAGCAGUGGGGAUUAUUGGACAAUGGGCGAAAGCCUGAUCCAGCCGUGCCGCGUGUGUGAAGAAGGUCUUCGGAUUGUAAAGCACUUUAAGUUGGGAGGAAGGGCAGUAAGUUAAUACCUUGCUGUUUUGACGUUACCGACAGAAUAAGCACCGGCUAACUCUGUGCCAGCCGCCGCAGUAAUAC